rnacentral:tmRNA from 1 species
GGGGAUGAAAGGAUUUCGACGGGACUUAAAAGCAGGAAAAAGCGAGCGGUGCUGUGAUAAUCACCUUAAAAUGUCACAAGUUUCAAUAAGAAACGACAAAAAUUUACAAUUACAAGCAGCUUAACUUAAGUUGCCAUCGUCUUUGAGAUAACCCGCGGUUUCAAAGUACGGUGUCAUUUUAGCGGGGAACGUGAAUAUGAGUUUUCUCGGCCCAUAUCAUGAAUUAUCGAGAAUAUAUUUUAAAAGAUUUUGUCAGUUUUUAUUUUAAAAUGAAUUUUUUAAAUUGACUACGCUCGUAGAAAGUCUUGUGGAUGAGUUUUCGGACGCGGUUUCGAUUGCCGCCAUCUCCACCA